rnacentral:rRNA from 1 species
CUGUGUGUUGUUGGGUAGGGGAGCGUUCUGUAAGCCUGCGAAGGUGUCCCGUGAGGGAUGCUGGAGGUAUCAGAAGUGCGAAUGCUGACAUAAGUAACGAUAAAGCGGGUGAAAAGCCCGCUCGCCGGAAGACCAAGGGUUCCUGUCCAACGUUAAUCGGGGCAGGGUGAGUCGACCCCUAAGGCGAGGCCGAAAGGCGUAGUCGAUGGGAAACGGGUUAAUAUUCCCGUACUUGGUGUUACUGCGAAGGGGGGACGGAGAAGGCUAUGUUGGCCGGGCGACGGUUGUCCCGGUUUAAGCGUGUAGGUGUGUGUUCCAGGUAAAUCCGGUUCACUUUAACACUGAGGCGUGACGACGAGGCACUACGGUGCUGAAGCAACAAAUGCCCUGCUUCCAGGAAAAGCCUCUAAGCAUCAGGUAACAUCAAAUCGUACCCCAAACCGACACAGGUGGUCAGGUAGAGAAUACCAAGGCGCUUGAGAGAACUCGGGUGAAGGAACUAGGCAAAAUGGUGCCGUAACUUCGGGAGAAGGCACGCUGACACGUAGGUGAAGUGAUUUACUCAUGGAGCUGAAGUCAGUCGAAGAUACCAGCUGGCUGCAACUGUUUAUUAAAAACACAGCACUGUGCAAACACGAAAGUGGACGUAUACGGUGUGACGCCUGCCCGGUGCCGGAAGGUUAAUUGAUGGGGUCAGCGCAAGCGAAGCUCCUGAUCGAAGCCCCGGUAAACGGCGGCCGUAACUAUAACGGUCCUAAGGUAGCGAAAUUCCUUGUCGGGUAAGUUCCGACCUGCACGAAUGGCGUAAUGAUGGCCAGGCUGUCUCCACCCGAGACUCAGUGAAAUUGAACUCGCUGUGAAGAUGCAGUGUACCCGCGGCAAGACGGAAAGACCCCGUGAACCUUUACUAUAGCUUGACACUGAACAUUGAGCCUUGAUGUGUAGGAUAGGUGGGAGGCUUUGAAGUGUGGACGCCAGUCUGCAUGGAGCCGACCUUGAAAUACCACCCUUUAAUGUUU